GGCUUUAUAGUCAAUGUAUGAUUUUAGACUGCAAUUCUAAAGUAGUGAUUUCACUAAAGCUU
rnacentral:tRNA from 1 species